UAAUAGCGUAUAUUAAUGUUGUUGCAGUUAAAAGCUCGUAGUUGGAUUUCUGGCCGAGUGUCCCACGCGCAGCAUGACGUUUGGUCCUGGGCGCUCUGCCAUCCUUCUGUCAACCUUCGCCUCGUUCAUUCGUGGCUUUGGGGCUCAGAUAUUUUACCUUGAGAAAAUUAGAGUGUUUCAGGCAGGCUUUCGCCGGAAUACAUUAGCAUGGAAUAAUGGAAAAGGACUUCAACCUCUUCUGUUGGUCUGAGAGGCUGUAGUAAUGAUUAAUAGGGAUAGUUGGGGCAGUUAGUACUUAACUGUCAGAGGUGAAAUUCUCCGAUUUGUUAAAGACUAACUUAUGCGAAAGCAUUUGCCAAGGAUGUUUUCAUUAAUCAAGAACGAAAGUUAGGGGAUCAA
rnacentral:rRNA from 1 species